UCCCCUGUCCCUGUGCUGGGUCCGAGCUGGCGGCCGGGCCGGCCAGAGCAGCACUUCCAGCCCCGGCUGUCCCUGGAGCGGUGGGAGCUGCCGCUGGCCCCAGGCACUGUCCCCUGAGGAGCUGCUGAAGGACGCUGCAAGGAAGACCUUGAGGACAGCCAUAGAGUGACGGGAGGCAGCCGGGAGGAGCUGAAGGCCAGCAGCAAGAGCAGCGAACGGGGACCUGUUGCUGCCAGCCUGGAGAGAGCCCGGAUGUCCCAUCUGCUGUCGCUGUCCAGGAGAGCUGCUCUGCAUGGGAGGAGGAGACCAAGGGAGAGGCUUGGAAGAUGGGGCAGCUGGGAUCCCUCUGCUUGGAGCUCUGUUUAUAGAUGUUUGGACUUACACCUAGACAGGGAUAAUUAUAUGGAUAUGUACAUGUAUGUUCCUAUUUGUAUAGGAAUAUUUCUAUAUGAAUGUUGGUAUAUUUAUGGAUGUAUUAUAUAUAUGUAUGCAUAUAUAUACAUAUGUGUUUGUAAUUACUUACAUGUGUAUAUA